rnacentral:rRNA from 1 species
AUUGAACGCUGGCGGCAGGCUUAACACAUGCAAGUCGAGCGGGGUGAUGGUGCUUGCACUAUCACUUAGCGGCGGACGGGUGAGUAAUGCUUAGGAAUCUGCCUAUUAGUGGGGGACAACAUCUCGAAAGGGAUGCUAAUACCGCAUACGUCCUACGGGAGAAAGCAGGGGAUCACUUGUGACCUUGCGCUAAUAGAUGAGCCUAAGUCGGAUUAGCUAGUUGGUGGGGUAAAGGCCUACCAAGGCGACGAUCUGUAGCGGGUCUGAGAGGAUGAUCCGCCACACUGGGACUGAGACACGGCCCAGACUCCUACUGGAGGCAGCAGUGGGGAAGAUUGGACAAUGGGGGGAACCCUGAUCCAGCCAUGCCGCGUGUGCGAAGAAGGCCUUAUGGUUGUAAAGCACUUUAAGCGAGGAGGAGGCUCUUUUGGUUAAUACCCAAGAUGAGUGGACGUUACUCGCAGAAUAAGCACCGGCUAACUCUGUGCCAGCCGCCGCAGUAA